rnacentral:rRNA from 1 species
UACGGAGGAUGCAAGCGUUAUCCGGAAUGAUUGGGCGUAAAGCGUCCGCAGGUGGCCAUGUAAGUCUGCUGUCAAAGCGUCUGGCUCAACCAGAUAAAGGCAGUGGAAACUACAUAGCUAGAGUAAGGUAGGGGUAGAGGGAAUUCCUGGUGUAGCGGUGAAAUGCGUAGAGAUCAGGAAGAACACCGGUGGCGAAAGCGCUCUGCUGGACCUAAACUGACACUGAGGGACGAAAGCUAGGGGAGCGAAUGGG